rnacentral:rRNA from 1 species
UUGACGGGGCCCGCACAAGCGGUGGAGCAUGUGGUUUAAUUCGAAGCAACGCGAAGAACCUUACCAGGUCUUGACAUCCCCUGACAACCCGAGAGAUCGGGCGUUCCCCUUCGGGGGACAGGGUGACAGGUGGUGCAUGGUUGUCGUCAGCUCGUGUCGUGAGAUGUUGGGUUAAGUCCCGCAACGAGCGCAACCCUCGACCUUAGUUGCCAGCAUUCAGUUGGGCACUCUAAGGUGACUGCCGGCUAAAAGUCGGAGGAAGGUGGGGAUGGCGUCAAAUCAUCAUGCCCCUUAUGACCUGGGCUACACACGUGCUACAAUGGGCGGUACAAAGGGUCGCGAACCCGCGAGGGGGAGCCAAUCCCAAAAAGCCGCUCUCAGUUCGGAUUGCAGGCUGCAACUCGCCUGCAUGAAGCCGGAAUCGCUAGUAAUCGCGGAUCAGCAUGCCGCGGUGAAUACGUUCCCGAGCCUU